AUAAAAUAAAUAUUUGACAAAAACUCGCAGUGUCACUAUCACAUGAUGUAUUGCAAUGAUUUCUCUUCGCAGAGCUGGGAUGGAUGUGGCCUGUGUGUGACACCUCCAGCCCGGGCUGCCAAUUUGACAUCCCUGGUAUAAUGCUAUGGAGCCAUAAUAAGAUUUAACAUAGACAGCCAAUAUUUUUUCCCUUUGUGGCAUAAAGCGAUUUAGAUUUUUACUUGGCCUGACUUGAUUGCAACAAGUAAAAAACAAUCAUACCAAUUAAGAUAUAAAUGGCAUUACAUUUUUAAUUGCAAAAAGUUUUAUCCUCUCAUUUUCUGAAUUAAUCCAAUAUUCUCAAUCACUAAUCCCAAAAUGGAAUUAUGUUUAGUAAAUCAAGUAAGACCAUUUACUUGAUUAGUGCAGUUAAAAAUCUUGCUCCAAAGGAAUUACAAGCAGUAAUUCUGAAUUUAAAAAACUAGUAUAAAUAAAUCCAGUAUAAAUAAAAAGUUGCAUAAACAUGCUUUUGAACCAUUUUUUUUUCAAACACAAAAAACCCAUGUUUUGAAAACUUGGUACUUUAUAAAACAGUUGUUAACAAAUUUUAAACAUAUCACUUCCUUAGAACUAGACAUAUUUAUCUCCCACAUAUACUUACACUGUUUGUUAUUGCUUGUUUGUAAACUACAUCCUGAAAUGCACAACAGUAACAUUUGAAAUCAAACUUUCAUAAUAAAUCACUCAUCCACUCUUUGCCUCAACAAUUUUAGAUGCCAUCUAAGACUUCCUAGUAUAUACAAAUUGAGGCAGCUGCAAUUCUAAAUUUUGCUUCCUCACCAAACUACACAUUUUCUUUAUAUUAUUUAUAUCCCACCUUUAUUAUUUUAUUUACAAAUAAUUCAAGGUGCACAACAUAUCUAAAAGGAAUCUUCUCUUCCUAUUUUCCUCCAACAACAAUCCUGGUAUAUGAAUUGAGUUGAGAGUAUGUGACUGACCCAAGAACACCCAGCUUUCAUGGCUAAAGCAGGACUAGAAUCCACUCCAGGUUUCUAGUCUAGUACCUUAACCACUAGACUAGACCAAACUGACUCUAGUAUUCUUACAGCAGGCUUCUUACUGGAGUAAUAAUGCUAUACAUUUGGAGGUCACCAAUAUUCCCCAAAGAGUCUCACAAGAUUUACUUGUAAUCAGACAUGAAUAAAACUGGACUAACAUGCUGGGGUCACACACUGGGCUAAUUCAGAGUAUUUUGACUUCCUAUAUUACAAUAAAGCUGUAUAACACGUUCAUUCCUUACUCCUAUGCCCUGUGCUUGUGUAAUGCAUUGAAUCUUAUUUUAAUUAACUAUGUAGGCUGGAACUGAGGCACAUGCUAUUGCUUAAAUUUUAGGUGGAGCUUUUGGUAGUUUGAGAACUUGUCUAUAGACAUUUCAUUACCCAAUUAUGCAACAUCACCAGUGUGAUCUAUAUGUGGAGUUUCCUGACUAUGUGGAGAUGUGGCUUUUAGCUCCUUAAUCUUAUACUUGGGUAGAAUAACUACAGAUUCAAUACCACCACCCUGUGGGGAAAAAUACUAGAGCUCCAGGAAGGACAAAGACAUCUGGAAAUAAAGUCAUGUAAAGAAACAUACAAAUAAACACAAAGCUUACAGAGCACCAAGGACUCCACAGUUCAACCCUGAGCUACAGAAACAGGACUAGCUAUUUAGUAGCAAAAUGAUAUUAAAGAAUGAAAUUGCUUCUUAGCAGGAAGGAAAAAGAAACUCUGCCCCGGGGGUUGAAGGUUUACAUUUUAGCCUUCAAUCCCAGAAAGCAUCUGUAACACAGUAAAGAGAACUAACUGCCUGUUCCAGCUGAGCCCUCGAUUCUGCCUCUAAGGUAGCAGAUAAACGAAGACGAAGAGCACGAAGUCGAAAAGGAUCAUCAGCCAGAAGUCCAACCAGUAGGACGUCCCGGAGAGUGGGGGCCCGCAAGCGAUGCUCCCCGUCGUUCCCGCCACCUCGGCUGCCAGCCGGUUCGGUUCAUGCUCAGUCUUUCGGCGGUCUCGUACCUCAACGCCUUCCGCAGCCUCCAUCGUCCCUCACACGGAAAGAAUUUAUUCCGCGACCGGCGACCGGCCUACGUAGGACUGUUACUACCAUAGAGACGCACGCAAAAAAGGAGGGGCACCAUAGCGAUGUUUCCGGUAGACACUUUCAGUACGACGUGGCCCUUAUAUGUCUGUUCAGACAAAGGGAGAUGCCUGUGGUUGAUUCGCCGCGAACGUUAAUUCUGUACAGCACAGAAACUGUGAUUGGAUAAUAGAAAUCUGGGCUUGGCGGAGUAUUUUAAACCAUGACUGACCAACUUAUCUUAAUGGAAUCUGAAUAUGUUUGUCUGGACUUGUUCUUCAUUUUAAAAAGAUUGAUUUUAAGACAGACGAGGCAGAGUUUCUUAUGAUUUUAUUUUAAUGUGUACUGUAAUUUUAAAAUUUGGACUUCUUGAACCAGAAUUCCUUCCUAAGUAGAAAUUUGUGUUUUUCUUAGUUUUUCAAUACCAAAUCAAGGUGAAAAAAGAAUACUGGACAGAAAUUAGGAUACAAUAUAUUAGGUGACAUUUUGAUGAGAAGGUGUGUACAAAAUUUAUUCUUUCCAAAUCUACAUAAAAAAUAGUUGUGUUAACAUUUUUAAGAAAUCUCAAAAAUAAAGCUAAUGAGGAAAUGUGGCAAAUUAAAAAAAAAAACAGAACUAGGUAAAU